rnacentral:rRNA from 1 species
AUCCUACGGGAGGCAGCAGUGGGGAAUAUUGGACAAUGGGCGCAAGCCUGAUCCAGCCAUGCCGCGUGGAUGAUGAAGGCCCUAGGGUUGUAAAGUCCUUUCGGCGGGGAAGAUAAUGACGGUACCCGCAGAAGAAGCCCCGGCUAACUUCGUGCCAGCAGCCGCGGUAAUACGAAGGGGGCUAGCGUUGCUCGGAAUCACUGGGCGUAAAGCGCACGUAGGCGGCUUUUUAAGUCAGGGGUGAAAUCCUGGAGCUCAACUCCAGAACUGCCUUUGAUACUGAGAAGCUUGAGUCCGGGAGAGGUGAGUGGAACUGCGAGUGUAGAGGUGAAAUUCGUAGAUAUUCGCAAGAACACCAGUGGCG